UAGGAUCUUCAUAGUUCAUGACAGGUAUGU
rnacentral:piRNA from 1 species